GAAGGCCCGACCUUGUAUUGGGGAUGGGGUAGAUUAACCUAAAAAGAGGGGGGGGGGUGGUCUUGGACGUUUCUAGUGGUUUGCUAGUCAUCUGUGUGGUUAUCCCACGGUUCCCACACCUUUGUGAAAGCUUUCAUGGUGCCUCGUAUUUGGGCCGUCAGUUUGUCCAUGAGGUGACACUCUUUGAUCUUGUUGAGUACUGCGGUCAUUGGGGGGGAAAUGCAUUUUCAAUGCUUUCCUAUGGAGAGCUCUAAUGAGCAUGCACAUUAGGUUUCCUCAGCCAGCAGGCGGGAUUAGUCUCGCCCACCAGCUGACGGAAUCACUGGGAGGAGCGGCGGCAAGAGGAAACCACUGCCAAGGGACAUCAGCGGGGUCUCAGGUAAGUGACUGAAGGGGUUUUCACCCCUUCAGCUACCGGGGGAUGGGUGGUGGGAGGGAGAGGGGACCUGCAGUGCCAAGAAAACGGAUUGUUUUCCUGGCACUGGAUAUUCCCUUUAAGAACCCUUUACCCUGUUCUGUUACAUAGUUUUCACUAGACCCGUGGGGAUAGCCAAAGUCAGUUUAUCCUUCUCCACUCAGUCUCGGAGAGUUUCCCGAUCUCCAUGUGUUCC